GUAAGGUCUGUUGAUAAAGGAAAAGCGCAUCAUUUGUAUUAUCUCUCUCCUCCUCACAUGGUCACUGACCUCAUUGCUGCUUCCCUCUCUGCUUAGCAUCUCCUUAUCUCUCCCUAGUCCCUACCAUACAUCUCCUUCUCCCUUCGAGGUCCAAUGGCGAUUGUUCUUGUUGCGACGGCGGAGCGGGUGGUGAAGGUGGUGCUUGUGACACUUCAAAAUCUUGCUUAGGGUUUCGAAUUUGGGGUUUUUAUUGAUGCCAUGAGGACACCAACAGCUACGAUGAACCUCAAGAACACGCUAACUAAAAAUAUAUACGGAGUAUGUUCAUCUUGGAGAUUUUCGGUACUCUCCAAAUAGUAGUAUGGCCAGGAGGUGCUCACUAAAGGAAGUGCCUGAAACAAGUUAAUUAGACAUAUUUAUGAUUUUAUCCAAGGAUUAGUAAGCACGCGCUGUGAUUGAAGUCUGACAUACCUGAACAACAUCAGCUGCAGCAUAACCAGCAGCCUGACCUCCCAUGAAGUGAAGGCCAUUCCUUAAACCACAGAGUAACCCUGGUUUCCGCUCGUCUCCUUCCUCCUCCAGUCUUGCUGCGGCUGCAGCUCUUGACUCUGUUCGCCAAGUGGAAGCGAAAUAUCCAGCUUUGCUUUUCAAGCAGCAGCUUACUGCAUACGUGGAGAAAAUGUAUGGCAUUAUUCGUGAUAACUUGAAGAGGGAGUUGUCAUCAUUAAUUUCCUUGUGUAUCCAGGUUUUCAAAACUCCAAGGGAGGGGCGCUUUACCAAAGAGGAGUUGGAUGAAGUUUGAGACAAGUGGGCUAUUUACUUCAACGAUUGUGAACUACCCUCAGUGUAAUAAAUAGAGCAUGCUUGUAGUUAUUCGUGACUCUUACAUUAUUUUGUUAUUUAUCGAUUUAAUUAAUUACAUUUGAAUUAGUUCGUUAAUAUUAUUGGAAAUUUGAAAUUUAUAUCA